rnacentral:rRNA from 1 species
UGGACUGCUCAGUAAUACUCACUUUAUUUUAUGUAAAUUUUUAAUUAACUACGUUAAAGUGUAGAUAAGAUGUUUACAGUAAGAGUGAGACCUAUCAGCUAGUUGUUAAGGUAAUGGCUUAACAAGGCUGUGACGGGUAACGGUAUUACUUUGUAAUAUUCCGGACAAGGAGCCUGAGAGACGGCUACUAAGUCUAACGAUUGCAGCCGGGGCGAAACUUGACCUAUGGAUUUUAUCUGAGGCAGUUAUGGGAAGUAAUAUUAUAUUGUUUCAUAUUUUAAAAGUAUAUGAGGUGAUUAAUUGGAGGGCAAAUCAAGUGCCAGCCGCCGCGGUAAUACUUGUUCCAAGAAUGUGUAUGAUGAUUGAUGCAGGUAAAAAGUCCGCAGUUUAUUUUUUUA